rnacentral:lncRNA from 1 species
AUUGCAACCAAUACAACAGAUAGAGAAAAAUGUGCAAACAUUGAUAGAAUAGAAAACAAUUGCAAACAAUACAACAAAUAGAGAAAAAUAUGCAAACAUUGAUAGAAUAGAAAACAAUUGCAAACAAUAAAACAAAUAGAGAAAAAUAUGCAAACAGUGAUAGAAUAGAGAACAAUGCAAACAAUACAACAAAUAGAGAAAAUAUUGCAAACAGUGAUAGAAUAGAGAACAAUGGCAAACAAUACAACAAAUAGAGAAAAAUAUGCAAACAGUGAUAGAAUAGAAAACAAUUGCAAACAAUAAAACAAAUAGAGAAAAAUAUGCAAACAUUGAUAGAAUAGAAAACAAUUGCAAACAAAACAACAGAUAGAGAAAAAUAUGCAAACAGUGAUAGAAUAGAAAACAAUUGCAAACAAUAAAACAAAUAGAGAAAAAUAUGCAAACAUUGAUAGAAUAGAAAACAAUUGCAAACAAUACAACAGAUAGAAAAAAAUAUGCAAACAGUGAUAGAAUAGAAAACAAUGGCAAACAAUACAACAAAUAGAGAAAAAUAUGCAAACAGUGA